rnacentral:rRNA from 1 species
AUUGAACGCUGGCGGCAUGCCUAACACAUGCAAGUCGAACGCUACUUGAGGGGCGACUCUUAAGUGGAGUGGCGGACGGGUGAGUAAUACGUAGGAAUCUGCCUUAGAGUGGGGGAUAACCUGUCGAAAGACGGGCUAAUACCGCAUAACCUCUACGGAGCAAAGGAGGCUAGCAAUAGCUUUCGCUUUAAGAUGAGCCUACGUCGGAUUAGCUAGUUGGUAGGGUAAAGGCCUACCAAGGCAACGAUCCGUAGCUGGUCUGAGAGGACGAUCAGCCACACUGGAACUGAGACACGGUCCAGACUCCUACGGGAGGCAGCAGUGGGGAAUAUUGGACAAGGGGGAAACCCUGAUCCAGCAAUGCCGCGUGUGCGAUGAAGGCCUGCGGGUUGUAAAGCACUUUCGGUGGGGAAGAAAUACUCAAAUUUAAUACAUUUGAGAGCUGACAUUACCCAAAGAAGAAGCACCGGCAAACUCUGUGCCAGCCGCCGCCGUAA